UUCCGGUUGAUCCCGCCGGAGGACAUUGCUAUUGGGAUUCGAUUUAGCCAUGCUAGUCGAACGAGUUCAGACUCGUGGCGAAUAGCUCAGUAACACGUGGCCAAGCUCCCCUUCAGUCAGCGAUACCCUCGGGAAACUGAGGUUAACAGCUGAUACAAAACGCCAGCUGGAAUGCGGCGUUUCAGAAAGACAUCGCUGAAGGAUGCGGCUGCGGCCGAUUAGGUAGACGGUGGGGUAACGGCCCACCGUGCCAGUAAUCGGUACGGGUGAUGAGAGUCAGAGCCCGGAGACGGAAUCUGAGACAAGAUUCCGGGCCCUACGGGGCGCAGCAGGCGCGAAACCUUUACACUGCACGGAAGUGCGAUAGGGGAAUCCCAAGUGCGAGGGCAUAUUAGCCCUCGCUUUUCUCGACUGUAAGGUGGUCGACGAAUGAGAGCUGGGCAAGACCGGUGCCAGCCGCCGCGGUAAUACCGGCAGCUCAAGUGAUGUCCCAUAUUAUUGGGCCUAAAGCGUCCGUAGCUGGCCGACCAAGUCUCCCGGGAAAUCCACCCGCCCAACGGGUGGGCGUCCGGUAGAAACUGGCCGGCUUGGAACCGGAAGGCUCAGAGAGUACGUCCGGGGUAGGAGUGAAAUCCCGUAAUCCCGGACGGACUACCGAUGGCGAAAGCACUCUGAGAAGACGGCUUCGACAGUGAGGGACGAAAGCUCGGGUCUCAAACCGGAUUAGAUACCCCGGUAGUC
rnacentral:rRNA from 1 species